rnacentral:rRNA from 1 species
AAUCAACGCUGGCGGCGUGCCUAACACAUGCAAGUCGCGCGCGAAAGGGGGGCAACUCCCGAGUAAAGCGGCGAACGGGUGAGUAACACGUGGGUAAUCUACCUUCGAGUGGGGAACAACACCGGGAAACUGGUGCUAAUUCCGCAUGACAUCGUCGGGGCUUCGGUUCUGACGCUCAAAGCUGGGGAUCGCAAGACCUAGCGCUUGAAGAUGAGCCCGCGUCCGAUUAGCUAGNGGCGGGGUAAUGGCCCACCAAGGCUUCGAUCGGUAGCCGGCCUGAGAGGGGCGGACGGCCACACUGGAACUGAGACACGGUCCAGACUCCUACGGGAGGCAGCAGUGGGGAAUUUUUCGCAAUGGGGGCAACCCUGACGAAGCAACG